AGCACCUAGGGAUCCUGUAAAAAUGCAGAUUCUGCUUUAGAGCAGUGCCUGGAAUCUGCAUUUAUAACAAGUUCCCAAGGGAUGCCAG
rfam:Myotis lucifugus cont2.29369, whole genome shotgun sequence.